CUAUGUCAGUGUGUUGGUUGUCUUCACGAGAAAAUAAAACCGUCCCCGAGGUGACUGUCCUACCUGCAUGGUGCUGUGCAGAGAGAUGCAUCCUCAACCCUUGCUUCGUUGUGGUGGUGCUUACACAACACAGCUCUAAAAUCACUGCCUCUCACAGCCCUGCUUCCCUCUACCUGCGCACAGAAGGCGCGCUUGUACAGCAGGGGAUUUAAUCGGGGAUCAUCUGACGAGAACGAGGGCUGCAGAAAAGGAACCUUUUCUCAGGUUUGCAGCCUUGCCUCUCCUUUUGAGAGCAGGUGCCCAAUACGGCCUAUUUCACUUCCUCCAAAGAAUUAAUUAUUUUCUCCCGUACGUGGCCCCUGGAGGAAGAAGUCUAAGCACCUCCUUCAUGCUGUCAUCCUGUAUUUCCAGUGAUCAGAGCACUUGUUCAGGAGCUGAAGAUGUGGCUCCUGGUCCUUUUCCCAGAACUUUGUGUUUUCUUCUCUGACAGAUGUUUGAUGUAAAGUACAUAGAGCACACUUUGAAAAGGGGACUGAAAUCCAAGGCUGCUCCCCUCCCUUCCCCACGGCAAUGUUAUUAUUGCUAGGUCAUGGCCUCUCCUUGAUUGCUCCCGUGAAUCCCGAAGCCCCACCCCCAAGCAGCAGUACGGGUUCAACAGGCUGGUUGGAAGUGCAGUGUGUGUUAGGCUAGCCUGCCUCCCUGGUAAGGUAGUCUUCGGGAAGGUCAGAGCGAGGCAUCUGAACCCCUGUGGGCAGAAGGAGGAGAAAAUGACUCGUGUCUCCUGGUGUGAGGGGCGCUGCAAGGCACACAGGGGAAGGAAAUCUCCCCUGGGAAGUUGAGGAAGGGCUCAAAGGGGCUGGUGAAGUGUUAAGCAAAAGCAGUCAGCGGCUUAGCACAUGGUGGGGAAGUCGAUAAGCGUUUGCAGCUGGUUCUCUCUGCCUCGGAGGAACUGGGUGACUGCUGACUAAGGAGCUGCAUCAAGUCGGAGGAAUGGGAAGGGGGUCAUGUUUCCCGAGUGCCUGUACACGCCGCAGAGCGAUGGGAUAGCGCCGGGCACCUCCUACCUGCUGUCCUGUCGUGGAAGAGCGAUUACAGCAACAUGCUCUGUGAAGCUAGAGCCUAUUGGAAUGUUGGGACUAAUCAUGUGAGAAAAGAUCCUGGAGUGAUGAGGCAGCAUAUUUCCCAUGUCUGAGGUCAGGAUUUGUUCUGUGAAGCUGACCUUUAAAACAGCCUGAAAAUGAGGAACGUGGCACCAGAGAGCAGAGCAGGAAGCAUGAAAUUAUGGCAGUUAUGUACAAAGUCAGAGGCGAAACAAGGCAAGUAAUUUCCACACAGCAUCCCUAUCUUCAACUCUGAGACAUGGAUUUAAAAGCUGGACUGUUUGGUGGAUAAGGCAUUGACUGGAUGGAUGCAGCCAGAGAAAUGUGAUUGAAGACUCUGUGCUUAUGUAGAGGCUGGACCCAGUGGUGUCUCUUGAGACUCUGUCUCUGUAGUAUCUUUAUUAUUGACAGUAGGACCAAGUGCACCCUCAGCAGGUUUGCAGAUGGCAUAAAGCUGAGUGAUGCAGUUGGCACAACAGAGGGAAGGGAUGCCAUCCGGAGGAACCUGGACAAACUGGAGAAGUGGGUGCAUGAGAACCUCAUGAGGUUCAACAAGUGUGAGGUGCUGCAGCUGGGUCAGGGCAAUCCCAGACAGUACAGACUGGAAGAAGAACUGAUGGAAAUCAGCCCUGUGGGGAAGGACUUCUGGAUUCUCAUGGAUGAAAAGCUGGACAGGAGCCAAGUGCACACUUGCAGCCCAGAAAGCCAAACACCUCCUGGGCUGCAUCAAGAGGUGUGGCCAUCAGGUCAAGGGAGGUGAUUCUGAGUCCUUUACUGCACUCUCUGAGUCACCCCUGGAGUGCUGCAUCCAGCUCUGGGGUUCCCAGCACAAGAAAGAUGUGAACCUGUUAGAGUGAGUCCGGAGGAGGCCACAAAGAUGAUCAGAGGGAUGGAGCACCUCUCCUGCCCCAAGAGGCUGUGAGCUGGGAUUGCUCUUCUCUUGAUGGAGAAGGGAAGGCUACAGGGAGACCUCAUGUCAGCCUUCAAGUACUUAAAGUGGCUUAUAGAAAUGAGGGAGAGAGGCUUCUUUGUGUAGUGAUAAGACAAGGAGGAACGAUUUUAAGCUUAAAGAGCGUAGGUCUAGAUUAGAUGUUAGGGAGAAAUUCUUUACUGUAUGAGUGGUGAGACACUGGAACAAAUUGCCCAAGAAGCCGUGAAUGCCCCAUCCCUGGCAGUGUUCAAGGUCAGGCUGGAUGGAGCUUGAAGCAACCUGAUCUAGUGGAAGGUGUCCCUGCCCCUGGCAGGGGCGUAGGAACUGGAUGAUCUUUAAGGUCCCUUCCAACCCAAAUCAUUCUAUGAUUGUAUGAAAUGAAGGGGUGGAGUUGUCAUCCAGUUGUCAUGCAGUUGUUGUCAAUAUCCACAAGCCAUUAACCUGGUUCAUAGACUCUCUAGAACAGGGAAGUUAGAGGUAGAGCAGGGUUUUGAACUGACACCUCCAAAUAGUGAGAGCCCUGACUUUAUUUUUAUGUGGGGAAAAAAACCCUUUGAAGAAUAAGAAAUAUUGGGGAGGAGGAGGGGCGAGAGUCAUGUUUGUUUUAGAUUUGGGGUUUUUUUGGAGGACACCCAAGAAGUUUUCCAACCAGUUUUCCUGAAGCCCCCUUACCUCUGGAAAGCAGUAGAAGUAUCUGCAUGAGUGAAGAGCUCCAGCACAGGAAAGUACAGAGGACGUAAGAAGAAUAAGGCUUUGCGUGGAGAGAUGGACUGCUGCAGCCACUGGUAGGCUUUUCUGCAAAGACCGCAGUUGCAAACAGACCAGGCAGGAGCUCAACCACACUUUAAAAGACAUUUAAUUUUAGAACUUAAGAACCCAUGUUUUAGUCUGAACUCAGCCCAUGAGUCUAAAACUUCUUUAAACUCUGGAUGAAUGUUGCUUUUAACCUACCGUGUACCUUGGAUCCAUUUGCUUAGUCAUUGGCCAGAUGAAGGUUAUUCUUUGUCUCUGAGAAAAGAUUAACCUUUGCUCUCUGUCUCAGAUUAGUUUACUGUUGUCCCCACAGUUCAUCUGCUUUUAUAUGCAUAUCCUGCUGCUAAAUGUGGAUAAAAUAAGCAGAUAGUCUUUUUACUCUCUUUCCUUUCAGCUUGUUGAUGCAGGAUUCUGUCAUAUGCAUGGUAAUGUGUAACUGAAGGAUGUUGGCCCUGCCCAGCUGGCUUAGAUCUCACCUCUAAGCCUGUACUCAAAAAAACCCUACCUAUUCUGAGCAGCAUGGGAAGCUCUCCAGGGCCCAGAAUGUGAAAAUUAAUCAAUUCUUGUAGAAAUGUUUUCUGCAAUGCUGUGGAA